rnacentral:rRNA from 1 species
UACGUAGGGUGCAAGCGUUGUCCGGAAUUAUUGGGCGUAAAGAGCUCGUAGGCGGUCUGUCGCGUCGGCUGUGAAAACCCGGAGCUCAACUCCGGGCCUGCAGUCGAUACGGGCAGACUGGAGUUCGGCAGGGGAGACUGGAAUCCUGGGUGUAGCGGUGAAAUGCGCAGAUAUCAGGAGGAACACCGGUGGCGAAGGCGGGUCUCUGGGCCGAUACUGACGCUGAGGAGCGAA